AUACCAGGCUAAUAGUAUUUGGACUUUAGUCAGUAAACAUGAGGGAGCCAGUCCGGGUUUUUGAACAGAGAGACUACUUGAUUAAAUGUUAUUUUUAGUUAUGAGUCCAUAAACCCCAUAGAUGUGAACAAGAAUGGAGAAGAAAGGACAAGUACAAGAGAUACUCUGUGGAAAGACUGGACAUGACUUAUUGAUGGCUAAGGAGAGAAGAGGAAAAGUUAAAGAGAAUUUUGUGUCCUGUGGCCAGUGAGUUGUCCGGGUCGUAGCACAAUUUCACUAGAUUUUUUUUCACCAACUUUCAGACUGAGGUCAGAAAGCUAUAUACAGAGAACAAGGUGGGCUAGACUAGAGAAAGCCAGCGAAAUGUGUUUUGAAACACUGCAUAUAUUAGGCAUUACUGUUUAUAUAGUUUAAUGAUUUCAUGAAGUGAUUUGGCCUCUACAGAUUAAUUCACAUCAAAGAGUGCGUUUCUGCUAUACUGAUUAUUUUUGCAGUUAAGCUUGAGUCCAAUUUCCCCUGGAAGCUCUUGUUUUGAUAGUCUUUGACCAUAUUGUAAAAUGUGAAUAAAGUCACCAUUAGUAGUGUUAGUUUAUCACUACAGUGAUAACCCGUAGAGCAAGUAAGCAAUUCCAUGUAGGUUUUCCAAGUAACCAGUGCACCAAUGGCAUCCUGUCUCUAGAUGGGAUUGUUAUUGUUACCAUAUGAUUUGACUGCUUAUAAUAAAUACUGUCAACAUCUUUUUAGAAAUGAAACGAAGAGCAGCAGUGGUAGCAACAGCCUUGGAACCUUGACCAACGUAUCAUAGAACUAGAGAUGACUCACUGGUUAAUUAACAAACUAAAUAGGUCAGCGUAAUAAAAACCUAAGCCUUUGAUUAUAAAUACUGGUUUAUCUGAAAUGUAGAACCUGAGCAAUGUAUUGGAAUAAUAGGAAAUUUCCAAACUCUUGAAAAUAUUAAUAAUCAGACACAUAUCUCAGGCUUGUGAUCCACGAAAUGGUGGGCUACCUUCAGUCUUGUUCUAACAGUAUACUACUUCAGCUAUCAAAACACAGGGGGGGGGGAAAAAAGCCACAGGGGAAAGGAGUAGAAUAAAAGGGGUGGGGAGUGUGGGUGUGUGUAGCAAGGCUGUUCCCCUGUCCUGGGAUUUGGCCUGUAAGAGUGCUUUGUUCAUCUGGUUCCGGUUACAAUAAUGCUUUUUUUCUAGUCCCAAACCACGUAAUGGUUACUUGAAGAAAAGUGUAUAUGUAUGUUUAUCCAACUCCUGAUUGAACUUGUGACUAAAUCCUUCAAAGAUUUUGCCUCUGUGUAUGGCAUCUUAAAACUUUUUCCAACAUGC
rnacentral:lncRNA from 1 species